AAGACAGCAGGACGGUGGUCAUGGAAGU
rnacentral:snRNA from 1 species